rnacentral:rRNA from 1 species
GAUGAACGCUAGCGGGAGGCCUAACACAUGCAAGCCGAGCGGUAUUGUUUCUUCGGAAAUGAGAGAGCGGCGUACGGGUGCGUAACACGUGUGCAACCUGCCUUUAUCUGGGGGAUAGCCUUUCGACAGGAAGAUUAAUACUCCAUAACAUAUUGAACGGCAUCGUUUAAUAUUGAAAGCUUCGGCGGAUAGAGAUGGGCACGCGCAAGAUUAGCUAGUUGGUGAGGUAACGGCUCACCAAGGCGAUGAUCUUUAGGGGGCCUGAGAGGGUGAUCCCCCACACUGGUACUGAGACACGGACCAGACUCCUACGGGAGGCAGCAGUGAGGAAUAUUGGUCAAUGGGUGCAAGCCUGAACCAGCCAUCCCGCGUGAAGGACGACUGCCCUAUGGGUUGUAAACUUCUUUUGUAUAGGGAUAAACCUACCCUCGAGAGGGUAGCUGAAGGUACUAUACGAAUAAGCACCGGCUAACUCCGUGCCAGCCGCCGCAGUAAUAC